CUUAAUACAGAGUCCCACAACAUCCUUGUUAAAGGUAAUGACAAAGUCCCACAACGUCCCUGUUAUAGGUAAUUACAAAGUCCCACAACAUCCCUGGUAUAGGAAAUGACAAAGUCCCACAACAUCCCUGUUAUAAGUAAUUACAAAGUCCCACAACAUCCCUGUUAUAGGUAAUGACAAAGUCCCACAACAUCCCUGUUAUAGGUAAUGACAAAGUCCCACAACAUCCCUGUUAUAGGUAAUUACAAAGUCACACAACAUCCCUAUUAUAGGUAAUGACAAAGUCCCACAACAUUCCUGUUAUAGGUAAUGACAAAGUCACACAACAUCCCUGUUAUAGGUAAUUACAAAGUCCCACAACAUCCCUGUUAUA